UACGAAGGGGGCUAGCGUUGUUCGGAUUUACUGGGCGUAAAGCGCACGUAGGCGGAUCGUUAAGUCAGGGGUGAAAUCCUGGAGCUCAACUCCAGAACUGCCUUUGAUACUGGCGAUCUUGAGUCCGGAAGAGGUGAGUGGAACUCCUAGUGUAGAGGUGGAAUUCGCAGAUAUUAGGAAGAACACCAGUGGCGAAGGCGGCUCACUGGUCCGGUACUGACGCUGAGGUGCGAAAGCGUGGGGAGCAAACAGG
rnacentral:rRNA from 1 species